rnacentral:rRNA from 1 species
UACGUAGGGGGCAAGCGUUGUCCGGAUUUAUUGGGCGUAAAGGGCGCGUAGGCGGUCUGCUAAGUUGGAUGUGAAAACUCUGGGCUUAACCCAGAGCCUGCAUUCAAUACUGACAGGCUAGAGUUCCGGAGGGGAUAGCGGAAUUCCUGGUGUAGCGGUGAAAUGCGUAGAUAUCAGGAGGAACACCGGUGGCGAAGGCGGCUAUCUGGACAGAGUCUGACGCUGAGGCGCGAAAGCCAGGGGAGCGAACGGG